rnacentral:misc_RNA from 1 species
ACUGACGAAAAUGUUGGUAGAGGUGUUGUGUAUGAUGAGAAUUUUUGGAAAGUUCACGAUAAGUACAGCAAAUAUUUUGUGGACUGUUUGUCUACUUUAAUUACUGGCGCAAGUCUUCUCCUGAGACAUGGCUGGGAGAUUCUCCCGCACCUACUCGCGUAAGCGUCCUCAACCUGCUCCUCCCAUCAGUCAGUUUGAUGCUCUAGUGAAGGAUGGUUCAAGUGUUGCUAGCAAUCAACCGGCUGCCACUAAAACUGCUGGUCAUAUUGGCAAAUGGGGAAUCACUUCAUUCACAUCACUUAGAGCCAUAAAUGGAGGAAAUGAAGAUUCUUCUAAAAAGCAGCAGCUUCCGGGAAGUGAUUCUCCAAACUACUUGCAACAAAACCUACCUGAAGGGAUGCCAUCAGUCUUAAACCACUGUGAAGCUGGAAUGUCCCAUGUAGUCAAGCCAGUUAUCACUUACAAAAGACGCAAAUUUUUCAAAAGCAGAGGUGCCACAGAGGAAGUUUCUGCAGCUCCACCUGUAGAUUCUGGUACAACACUUCCAACGACCAAUUUUGUGAAUACCAGUGGUUGUCAAUUCAACAAGAAUGCCAAUAGCAGAAGCCAGGCAGAAUCUACGAACGAUUUUGAUGCUUUGUUAUCAAGCUCUCGGGGUGUUUCAUCCAGCAGUACACAUUCAAUUGAUUAUAAUCGUUCAAACAGCUAUUCUGCUACUACCAAUGCAGCUGCAGAUUUACUAGUUCAGCAUGCAAAUGUUCCUCAAGCACGGCCAUCCACCACUUUGGAAAAUAAAUCAGGCAACAGUGGCAUAAGACUAAAAAUUUUCAAAAGUCGGAAUACCAAGUCAACAUGGUCAGAAGGACAAUACUCAAGCAAAGUUGAGCUACCCAGUGAUGAUUCAAGGGGUACAAGUAUAUCCAGCAGUGGUGCUAGUUCUCCAGAAUCAUUUGAAGUUAAAGAUGAGGAAAAGGAUAAUGUGCGUGACACAUUUGGGCACAUUACACCUGCUCCUGCUAAAGUGCAAGAAAUGACGGGGAAGCCUCGUUUCUCAGUUUUAUCUCAUAUUGAUCAACCCCAAUCUUCCAUAGAUUCCAUAUUCCCCAUCCCCAAGUCUCCUGCUAGAGAUAAUUCUUCUAUCUGUUUAAACACUCUAACAAAUUCAGCUAACAUUAACAUUUCUUUAGACUCUAGUGCAGAAUUUGGUGAGAUUAUUGAUCAAAGUACUGGUUUACCUAGUUCUUUGUAUGGCACCAAAGAUUCUUGCUCUGAUGAUAUGGCAUCUUAUGCCUCUUCUAGCAUAGAAAAUUCAUCAAAUGAUGCACUAUCUUCAAGAAAAAGCUACUCAAGAAAAUUGUCCUCUUCAAUUCCUAGCGAGGAUGAAACCAUCAAAAAGGUUUCUAUGUUAUCUGACCAAGACGAUCUUAAUAGUGAAAGAUCUUCUUUGUCUGACACAGCUGUAGAAAAUGACCAUAGUACAAACUGUUCUAGUUCAAGUUCCUCUAUUAUAUCAUCUUUAGAAAGAAGUAACAAUUAUAGUAGAAAUGGUACCAAAAGUUAUGGAAACAAAUUGAAACCUAAACAAAAUACUUGUAGCAGAAGACGCCCUUUAGAAAACGACUUCCCCAAUGAAAAACUCCCUCUAGAUGUUAGAAACGUUAGCAGUGACAGGGCUAUCUUGAAACCAAUCACUGAAGAGAAAUAUGCAUCCAGUAACAAUUCUGUUUUGAACGAUGCUGCUAAUGUUGAGUCUUCAAUCAACAGUUUACCUUCAAGAGUUACCACCAAGCACGAGCUAUUUUCUGAUGACUUUAAUGAAGACGAGAUAAUUGACAGAACUCAGCUUGUUAACAGUCCUGUGCUCGAUUCUGCAAUUGAAAGCAAUGGACUAUUUGUGUCUAAUUUUAAUGAUAAGACUCCUCAGGAAGUGGAAUCGUCAAUAAUAGCCUCUAAUGCUUCAUCAAAUAUUAGUUCUUAUUCUGGGAGUUUGAAUUCUAUUGGCAAAGCAGCUUCAAUGCCUGCUAGAGUUGGACAUCUGAGGUCAACUUCUAGCGGACUAUUCAAAGACAAAGACGCUCCCAGUACUGCUAGUGAAAUGAAGCUCCCUUUGAGCCUGCCAAAGAAGAGGAGCAUAUUCAAGAGCAGGGUGGUGCAAGAAGAUAGCUGCAAGAAACGUGCAACGUACAACCACAAGUGGCACAGCUCAACAGAUGAGAAAGAAGUCGAUGAAAUUCUCUCCAAAAAGGCAUCAAGCUCUCAGUCUAGCGGCGCUUCUACAGACAAAUCGCCCUCAUUGUUUGAUGAUUUUGAUUUUGAUGGCAGUUCUGUUUCAUCACUCAGAAGGGUUCAGUCGUGGUCAGCCCAGCCCUCCAAUUCUGUUCUUCCCAGCUUAGACUCGACUUCUGAGCCUGGCUCUCAAGUAACGAGCGUCAAGUGCCACAAAUCUGCAAAAGAGUACUACACUGUCGUCAAGAACGUGAAGAAGCUGCACCAGCUGCAAGAGUCGGGCGAGUUUCAGGAGUUUAAUGACGAUGUUGAGUAUUUCUUGGACGCACUCCGAAGCAGCAACUCGGCAUCCACUCGCUGCCUUGCUGCUCUGAACCUGGCGCAGAAAUGCAUGGUGCCUGCCUUCAGGAUGCAUCUCAGAGCUCAUGCCACCGUAUGCAAGUUUUUCAGGGCUCUACAGGACGCUCAUGAACACCCGGCUCUGUCACUGUGUUCGGCGAUGGUGAUGUUUGCACUGAGCCAAGAUCGCCUCAACAUGGACCUGGACCGGGACUCCCUGGAGCUGAUGCUGAACUUGCUUGACAGCGACGGUGGGGACGAAAGAUCCUCGUCAGGCGCUUCAGGAGGUUCGGCCAAUGGCAGCAGCCAGGCCGUGAACGAAGCCAUGACCAAAAUACGAGAUUUGUGUGAACAGCUGCAGAAGAAGGGUCACGCCAAACACCUCGACCUCGACAAUCUCGACACAGGCACCUUGGCCAUGGAAACCCUGCUGAGCCUGACGUCGAAGCGAGCGGGCGAGUGGUUCAAGGAGGAGCUGCGUGAGCUAGGAGGCGUCGACCAUCUUGUCCGCACCGUCACGUCCUCCGUCAGACGGCUCGUCUCCUCCAAAGUUCUGCUUGGACUAAACUCCUGGGACUCUAACAUGGCUGAGACUUUUUCAAAGAUUGAGAGAUGUUUGAAGGUCCUCGAAAAUGUGACGCACCAAAACGAGUCGAACCAAGACUACCUCAUGCAGUACCAGUCAGGGGUAUUUUCCACGACACUAAUGGAUCUCUUCAGGCUGUGUCACGAGCAAAUACCCGUGGCAGCUGCUGCGUCUGCUCACAGUGAAGCUGCUGUAGCGGCAGCCAACUCUGUUGCCGAGCCAAUUUGCGUGACGGUCUCGGGGCAGAAGCGGCAUGCCAUCGCCACCAGCACUCCUAAGAAAAGGGAUCAGGUGGUGUCAGCUCUUCAAGGCAUUUCCAGCGCUUUAAUUACCUCUAUGAAGGUCUUAGUCAACCUGACUCAUAACUCAAGGAAAUUGGGACUUGGCAGCAAGACUUUUGGCUCCCAGCCUGCAACCUAUGACAUCACACUCAGCUGCUUGCUCCAGCUGCCGCAGUAUCUGGCGGUUGACACCAAGUUUGAGGUGAUGGUGCUGUCGUGUUGUCUGCUGCUCAACCUGGUGGAGCACAGCCCAGAAAAUCGCAUCGCCCUCAUGCAAGCCUCCGAGCCUGCUCAGCUCAAGCCUCCUCAAGACAACGAAAAAAUAUUCAGUGUUCCGUCCACAAGAAACAAACAUUCUCAGCAGAACCAAGGUGCAAUGAAAGCACUGGUGCAGAUUUUCUUCUCGUGUGAAGCUAGUGCCAAAGAGCACGAAGCGCACACGGAUCAAAUAAUCGACAGAGAUUUAGACCAGAGCCAACGUAAGAAGGAAGACUCCAAAGAGGACGAGCUUGAGGAAACUGUGGCUAAAUUGCUGCAGAAGGCUGGUCGUCACAUGGAGGACACUCUGAUUGCUGCGUAUACUGCCCUCCUCACGGGCUAUUGUAUCAUGGAUGAUAAAGAUUGCGAAGCUGCUGUGAGAAAGAUGCUGCCUGAAGGCCACUUCCGUACCAUGGUUGCGGUGCUUAAGAAAUUCCUACACUUCAUGAACCUCACUGCAACCACAAGCCUGCUGCGGUCACUGGCGCCCACGCAGAAAGUUGUGCGCUACAUGGAGAAGCUGGACCCGCCUCUGAAGCCCUCGACGUCCGUAGCUGAGCGCGAACGCCUCGAGCAGGAAAAGAGGGACAGGGGCGAGGACACUGAUGAUGAAGACCUUGAUUGUUCAGAUGAUCAACCUCCAUCAGAUUCCUUAGUAGAUGCCUUUGGAUUUUAAACAUGUGAUUCCGAUGAUAUGGAGGGCGCUGAUGAUAGAGACCUUGAUUGUUGAGAUGAUCAACCUCCAUCUGAUUCUUUAGUAGAUGCCUUCGGAUUUUAAACAUGUGAUUAGGAGGACACUGAUGAUGUGGAAGACACCGGCGCGACGAUACUGAUGAUAGAGAUCUUGAUUGUUCAGAUGAUCAACUUCUACCAUUGGGAAAAGUUUUGGUUUCUGCAAACGAAUUCUACCACCUAAGUUUCUCAGAAUUUUUGGGAACGUUUUUUUUUAAUAUUUCACAUUUUCCUUUAUAAUUCAGUGAGUACGUGGUAUCUCUUAUCAUAUCACUUACUUAGACUUUUGCGAUAGAUCUUUCUUUUUGCCUGUGUUAAAGGUGAUGAUUUCCUUUUUGAGUCUGCAUGGGUAUAUAUAUUUAUGAACUAAUUAUUUGUGUUCUCAGUCUAGUUUUCUCUUCAUUGUUUGUGCUUUAAGUUAUUUUGUUACUGUUAACAGCACCUAAACUAGUUGUACAUACACGGAAUGGUUUUUAGAUUGACUGCAGAAUAAUAUUAAGAAAUAAAAAUGCUUGAUUACUUAUAUUUCUUCAAAAUUCAACAAUUGUUUUCAAAUUCUGGCAUGAAUGAUUCAAAUGUUGAUGUUAAAGGCGAAUGGCUAUAUUUGUUUGCAUUAAAAUGAUCUAGGAUUGGAUCAAUUGGGUUUAUCAAUUUGCCUUAGCUGUAAUCGCUUAUAGAUGCUAAAUUCUGUGAUGACGUUCGUCGAUAUUUAAUGUGCUGGGGGAUUUUUUUUUUCAUUUGGUACUACUUUACCUUCACUGAGGCGAUUAUGUUCAAGCGAAUUGAUUGGGUAAGGAUUGUUUUUUUCUGGUGCUCAUUUCUUUAUUGUGCAUAUUAGAAUGCGCAGUGCUGUACGUUGUUCUGUGUAUAGAGCACCGCUCUCACUGAAUUUACGAGCUCUUUUCUUUUAAACUUUUCAUGCCGUACGACUCGUCACUGUGGUCUCACAAUUUAAUUUACUGAAUAAUUAAGGGCUUGUUUUGAUAAUUGUACUUAUUUGACUCGGGAGUAUAAAAUUCAAUGUAAUGUGAGGAACUUCCGCUAUGACAAGGUACAAAUUAAGUGUUUUGUGAAAGUAAAACAGACGUCAAUAUUUUCCACCCUCUGGUUAGUGUUGUCCGGAGUUUUCUACAUGGAAUGUAUUCAAAUUUCAGCGAUGACUGUAAAUAGUUGUUUGCUUAGAGGAAUCGUACAAAUUUUCUUAGCACCUCCAAUUUAUAAUGUAAAUAAGCAUAACCGUUAUUGUUAUGUUAGAGCGUAGAAUAGUGUAGGUCUAGCUCCAAAAUAUCUAUUUGGAGUGCCAGCCCAAGCUCCUGAAUAGCUCCUCUGCGUGACCAAGUCACGACGAUCUCUUAUUUUUCGCUUUAUUUAUUUGAUGGGACUUUCAGUACCACAACUGGAAUGCUUUUCCCAUGAGCUGAGUGGCCGGCAUGCGUUUUCUUGCGUUGAUGUUAACGAGUUGUACAGCACUUGAUCAGGGUUACAGUUCUGACUUUAAUAUAUAUGAAACUUUCUUAUUCUUUUAGACAUUAGUCGAGUCGAGUAAUGUUUUUUUUCAAAUAGUUUACUGCUAGAAGCUUCACAUGAGCCUCCUGAUCAAUAUACAUAAAAAUGUUCUAACUUUUUUUUGCUUUUAUGAAUGCUUAUCGAUUGAAACUUAAAUUCCUUCCGCUAAUGUUUGCGUAAUUAUGUUAUGUGUGCGUUUUUUCAAACUGCACAUUUAUUCAGUAUAAAUCUUAUUUCUCUUCUGGGUGUGAUAAAUUUGCUUAUCACAAUCUUGAGGUAGAAUUUCAUAUUCCUGGAGUGGCUGUGGCGGAAGGUAACAUUAUUGAUCUACAGUUGCGUUAUAAAAUCAAUUGGAACACGAAACAGAAACUGACGAGAUUGAUGGUUGCUGUUCAUUCCUUCGUUCUUCAGUAUGAAUGCAUGUCCUAUAAUUACUUGACGUUCUUUUCGUACCAAAAAAUUUUUUGUAUAUAAUUCUGUAGCUUUUGUUUUAGUGAGGAAUAUGUAUUUUUGGAUUAUUAGGUUUCGUAUGCUCAGUCGUCGCCCGUUCCAGGGUGAAUUUUUUUUAGUUGAGAGCGUAAUGAAUAGCUAUUGUUGAAGAUAAACAUAGUGAAACUGGUCAAAAAGUGGAUCAUUAGUUCAAUUUCGUACUAUAUAUCAAUGAAUCAAUUUUUUUUAACGUUUUGUAAGUUAUGAAAAUGCUAUUUUGUAUCCUAAGGUGAAUGAAUCUAACAAUAACUGUCAUAAUUUGCAACGGAAUAAUUUUUUUACAGCAAUUUCUGUGAAGGGUAGGAAAGCAACUGCAUGAUCAAACAUUUUUUCAUCACAAAUUUUGACAUAAUUAUUUUAUUGCCUAUUUCUCAUUGCGAUUGCAAAGUAUACUGUAAAAACGUG